CCUCCCCAGCCACAGCAUCCACUGAUGCGACUGGAUCACUCUGCACCAGAACACUCUCUGCUUGUGGGGGAGGAGCAGAGGGUUUUUCAAUUGGCAUCCCAUCACCAAGCUCCGCAAGAAUCUUAUCCAAAUCUUCCUCUUCUUGAGCUGUCCUACCACUCUUAUUCUUCUUCUUCUUCUUGUUCUUUGAGGUUUCUGCAACCACAUCACCCAUGUGAACCUGAGCAGCACUAGCUUCAACAAUGCUAGGUGGUUGCUCAGCCAUGUUAGCUAUCUCACUUCCUUCCCCAUCAUUUAAUGUAGCAGAAACACUAUUAGAAUUCCCCUUUUUCUUAGAUGACUUCUUUUUACCUGUAAAUGCAA
rnacentral:misc_RNA from 1 species